rnacentral:rRNA from 1 species
AGCGAACGCUGGCGGCAGGCCUAACACAUGCAAGUCGAACGGAUCCUUCGGGAUUAGUGGCGGACGGGUGAGUAACACGUGGGAACGUGCCCUUUGGUUCGGAACAACUCAGGGAAACUUGAGCUAAUACCGGAUGUGCCCUUCGGGGGAAAGAUUUAUCGCCAUUGGAGCGGCCCGCGUCUGAUUAGCUAGUUGGUGGGGUAAAGGCCCACCAAGGCGACGAUCAGUAGCUGGUCUGAGAGGAUGAUCAGCCACAUUGGGACUGAGACACGGCCCAACCUCCUACGGGGGGCAGCGGUGGGAAAUCUUGCGAAAGGGGCGAAAGCUGACGCAGCCAUGCCGCGUGAAUGAUGAAGGUCUUAGGAUUGUAAAAUUCUUUCACCGGGGACGAUAAUGACGGUACCCGGAGAAGAAGCCCCGGCUAACUUCGUGCCAGCCGCCGCAGUAAUAC